GUCCGCUCUGGGUUAGUCGGGUCCUAAGCUGAGGCCGACAGGCGUAGGCGAUGGAUAACAGGUUGAUAUUCCUGUACCACCUAUAAUCGUUUUAAUCGAUGGGGGGGACGCAGUAGGAUAGGCGAAGCGUGCGAUUGGAUUGCACGUCUAAGCAGUAAGGCUGAGUAUUAGGCAAAUCCGGUACUCGUUAAGGCUGAGCUGUGAUGGGGAGAAGACAUUGUGUCUUCGAGUCGUUGAUUUCACACUGCCGAGAAAAGCCUCUAGAUAGAAAAUAGGUGCCCGUACCGCAAACCGACACAGGUAGUCAAGAUGAGAAUUCUAAGGUGAGCGAGCGAACUCUCGUUAAGGAACUCGGCAAAAUGACCCCGUAACUUCGGGAGAAGGGGUGCUCUUUAGGGUUAACGCCCAGAAGAGCCGCAGUGAAUAGGCCCAAGCGACUGUUUAUCAAAAACACAGGUCUCUGCUAAACCGUAAGGUGAUGUAUAGGGGCUGACGCCUGCCCGGUGCUGGAAGGUUAAGAGGAGUGGUUAGCUUCUGCGAAGCUACGAAUCGAAGCCCCAGUAAACGGCGGCCGUAACUAUAACGGUCCUAAGGUAGCGAAAUUCCUUGUCGGGUAAGUUCCGACCCGCACGAAAGGCGUAACGAUUUGGGCACUGUCUCAACGAGAGACUCGGUGAAAUCAUAGUACCUGUGAAGAUGCAGGUUACCCGCGACAGGACGGAAAGACCCCGUGGAGCUUUACUGUAGCCUGAUAUUGAAAUUCGGCACAGCUUGUACAGGAUAGGUAGGAGCCUUUGAAACGUGAGCGCUAGCUUACGUGGAGGCGCUGGUGGGAUACUACCCUAGCUGUGUUGGCUUUCUAACCCGCACCACUUAUCGUGGUGGGAGACAGUGUCAGGCGGGCAGUUUGACUGGGGCGGUCGCCUCCUAAAAGGUAACGGAGGCGCUCAAAGGUUCCCUCAGAAUGGUUGGAAAUCAUUCAUAGAGUGUAAAGGCAUAAGGGAGCUUGACUGCGAGACCUACAAGUCGAGCAGGGUCGAAAGACGGACUUAGUGAUCCGGUGGUUCCGCAUGGAAGGGCCAUCGCUCAACGGAUAAAAGCUACCCCGGGGAUAACAGGCUUAUCUCCCCCAAGAGUUCACAUCGACGGGGAGGUUUGGCACCUCGAUGUCGGCUCAUCGCAUCCUGGGGCUGUAGUCGGUCCCAAGGGUUGGGCUGUUCGCCCAUUAAAGCGGUACGCGAGCUGGGUUCAGAACGUCGUGAGACAGUUCGGUCCCUAUCCGUCGUGGGCGUAGGAAAUUUGAGAGGAGCUGUCCUUAGUACGAGAGGACCGGGAUGGACAUACCUCUGGUGUACCAGUUGUCGUGCCAACGGCAUAGCUGGGUAGCUAUGUGUGGACGGGAUAAGUGCUGAAAGCAUCUAAGCAUGAAGCCCCCCUCAAGAUGAGAUUUCCCAACUUCGGUUAUAAGAUCCCUCAAAGAUGAUGAGGUUAAUAGGUUCGAGGUGGAAGCAUGGUGACAUGUGGAGCUGACGAAUACUAAUCGAUCGAAGACU
rnacentral:rRNA from 1 species